CGCAGUGUACCCUCAGAGACGAUGUAGAACACGCCACAGAAUUGUGCCACCGAAGGGAGAACAUGAGAUAUUUAUCCAUGAACUGCUAUUCACUUCUACCUCCCCGGGCUUCCAACCUACCCAAUGCCAAGGCUGGGUUCAAAAUCAUGAAGCAACAAUUUCACACAGUGAAUGCAUCUUUGUAAGAAAUUCUGAAACAGAAAACAAUGACCUGGUAACGAUUUCCUACAGGAAAAUUAGUCCAGACAAGAACUACUGCCUAUCUUCUCUUUUUGGGUUUAUUUUGUUGAUACUUUUCUGGGGGGCAUGGCAGGUUAGAGGACACAUAGAGGAAAGUGCAAUAAUAGAAGUAUUCAGCAUAAAUAAAUUUUAAAGGAACUUUCAAGAAAUCAAAUAUGGCAGUUUUACACAAUGGACUUAAAGUGGAAGAACAAACAAGAAUUGUUGGCCAAGACAAUUUCAAAAAAAUCAUUGUUUUUAUCCACUAAAUAAUAAACAAUCAAUUACUAUCUU